GUGCCUGGGAUCAGAAGCCAGGCUCUGAUUGAGGUCAGAGGUCACCCCGUGGCUGGGAUGGGAACUCAUUCUGUGCCUGGGUCAGGGCUCAGGCUAUGGCUGGGAGCAGAGUUUAGUUUGUAGCUGGGAUCAGGGGUCAGUCUAUGCUUUUGACCAGGGCUCAGCUUAGUCUGGGAUCAAGGGUCAAUUUGGGCUGGUGAUGGGGGCUCAGUCUGUGACCAGGGUGAGGGGUCGACCUAUAGGUGGCCUCAGGGGUUAGUCUGCGGCUGGGGUAAGGACUUGGUGUAUGGCUGGGAUGAGGGUUCAGUGUGUGACUGGGAUCAGAGGCCAGCCUGUAGCUGGGAUUAGGGAUGAGUCCAUAGCUGGAGUAGACACGCAGACUGUGUCUGUCAAGACUUAAUCUGUAGCUCGGAUCAGGGCUCAGACUGUAGCUGAGAUUAAGGAUCAGACCAGGGCAGGGGCUGGAGUUCAACCUGGUCUGGACAGUCUCUGCCCCUGCCCCGGCCGCCCAUUUUUCCCCAGCUGUCCUGGGUCAAGUUGCUGCAGCUGAACUUUGCUUCCUCUUUGGAUCAGAGCGUUCUUGGCCAGCACCCAGCAGCUGAUUCCCCAGGGGAGAGGCCCCGUUCCCGCCAGCCACAUUCCCACGCCGGCCUGGGAGGCUGCCAGAGAGUGGCUGGGUGUCGGGGGCUGCCUCCCAGGGGACCUGCCUCUCACCCUGCCCAGCUCUGAGGACAGCACGAGAUUCCUGCAGAUGGAGCUCCUAACCUGUCGCCCUGCAGGCACUGUGUGUUUGGACAGCUGGAAGCAGAGCUCGGCCUGUGACCUGCCUGGUCCAGCAACUGGACCUUCUGGAGAGUCACAGUGAGACACACAGCCACAUCCUGUAAAUGAAGACCUCGUGGCUCAGAGAGUAAGCCAGAGAAAAGAAAAUGCCAUUCGGAAAAUCCUAAGGAAGAGAGGAUGCAUUUCCUCGUCUCCACGUGGAAGCGGAUCACCCUAAAGGUCUUCAUCCUGGUCUUUUUCAUGCUGAGGAGGCUGGGGAGGAGAAGGAAGAGGAGGGGCUGGUCUUGCUGACCCAGGAGCAGCAGAGAAAGGAGAAAAUCCACGUGCAGGGGCUGGCCAGCGCUGGGCUUCUCGGGAAUGGAAUCACACACGGACUGUGGCGUACACAUCACAACUUUAAACCCCGUCCGUACUGAAGCCUGCGUCCGAAUUUCUUCUGUUUUUGUGGCGGAAGGAUAAAUAUUCCAUUGUACAGACGGUCUACCCGGUUCAUCCGUCACCCACCCAUGGGCACCCGGGCCGUUUCCACCCUUAGUGAAGGAAGCCGCACGGGUGUUUGUGCGGACAGGAGCUUCCGUUUAUCUUGGGCGCACACCUAGGGGUGGAGUUGCUGGGUCUCGUGGUGACUGGUUGUUUCGGGAGCUGCCGGCAGGUGACCCAGCAGCUGGGCCGGUCCACAUUCCGUCCAGCAGCGUGCGAGUCUCUGAUCUUGGCGCCCACACCCCUGGCUGGCUCUCUCCUCCCUCCGACUUCGCAGCCACACCGGAGGCAGGUGGCAAUGAACUCAAGGUGUGCGGUCCCUCCCUCGGCGCCCAAGCCCCACACUGGGCCUGCCCUGGGCAUGAGUUGGCCAUUGGACCUGAGGCUGGAGAACCUGCCUGGGACAGAACAAAAUUCAAGUGUGAAGUUCUGGAAGGUUCUGGAGGGUUCCAGAGGCCUCCUGGAGCUCCCUGGGUCCCCUGGACUCCACAUGAGUGGCCACCCAGCCUGUGGUCUACGGCUGCCUAGGUUCACCCCCUUGGUCCCCCAGACACACACAGGGCAGCCCUUGUGUUCCUGGGGCCGCUGGUCCUGCAGCGUGAGCUGCCACCUGUAGGGAUCCCUCCCUGCCUGCCCACACCUGCCCCCCACGGCCGCCCCCCCUGCCUGGCCGCACCUGCCCCCCACGGCCG
rnacentral:lncRNA from 1 species